rnacentral:lncRNA from 1 species
AGAGACUGCUCCGAACUCCACAGUGACAGAGCUGGUUAGCGCUGCGAGCAGUGGCAUGGGGCUGGUGUCCGUCUGCCCCGUGCRUGUCCCCUGUGUCCCCAGUGGCAGGGGUAGGGGGGAGCUUAGGUGACAAAAACCUAGGUGUUUGUGUAACAGGCGCAGUGACAGCGUCCCUGCCGCUUGGUGCAUUGUAACAGCAUGGGCUGAAGAGGCAGUCUAAUGCACAGAUCAUUCCCGAGGGAUUUAACUCCUGGGGAAGUGGGCAGGGGGCUUGGGCUGGGCCUGUGAAGAGCUGCAGCGAUGCAUGAGCUGUCACAGCUCUYGGCAUGUGCUAACGUUGAGAUUGUCCCCCCAGAUCCAGACCUGCCUCGAACCGCCGGCUGGCGGAAGUUGCCCAGUCCACAGCAAAACUGCUGCCUGAGCUGUCGCAGCACCGGGAUGCACUCGGCUUUCCUGGAGCUGCCACACGCCAUCCCGUCCCUCCUCCAGGAGCAGCGCUGUCGGUGCUGGCUGGGAGCAGACUCAUGCUACGCUUGCUGUGCAGCUGUGGCUACCUGAGAUGAGCCUGCUGACGAGGUGAUGGGAACAGGCAGCACAAGGAUGGUGAGUUCACUCUUGCCUCUGUAAUUCCCCAGCCUC